rnacentral:rRNA from 1 species
AACAUUGAAUUGCUUAUUGCACCACAUGUGUUUUUCUUUGAAACAAACUUGCUUUGGCGGUGGGCCCAGCCUGCCGCCAGAGGUCUAAACUUACAACCAAUUUUUUAUUAACUUGUCACACCAGAUUAUUACUUAAUAGUCAAAACUUUCAACAACGGAUCUCUUGGUUCUCGCAUCGAUGAAGAACGCAGCGAAAUGCGAUACGUAAUAUGAAUUGCAGAUAUUCGUGAAUCAUCGAAUCUUUGAACGCACAUUGCGCCCUCUGGUAUUCCGGAGGGCAUGCCUGUUUGAGCGUCGUUUCUCCCUCAAACCGCUGGGUUUGGUGUUGAGCAAUACGACUUGGGUUUGCUUGAAAGACGGUAGUGGUAAGGCGGGAUCGCUUUGACAAUGGCUUAGGUCUAACCAAAAACAUUGCUUGCGGCGGUAACGUCCACCACGUAUAUCUUCAAACUUUGACCUCAAAUCAGGUAGGACUACCCGCUGAACUUAAGCAUAUCAAAAGGCGGAGGA